rnacentral:lncRNA from 1 species
CAAACUCGGAGAUCAGCCCUCCACUGCUAGGAUUAAAGGCGUGGUCCACUUCUCCGGGCGGAUUCCCUGCACAAGCCUCUAAAUUGAGAGCAGCGGGCAGCUGGCUACUAGGCAGCGCCAGUGCCGACAAGCCCGAGGCUAGAAGCCGCUGGAGUGGCCUGGGACUGAGCGCCCCAGGCCGCCCAGCUGACUCCUGCAGCUGUCGCAAAGCUGUCCCCACCAGCGGCCACCCAACUCAGGGCGGAACUCUCUACGCCCAAGAGGAUCGGCAGGCGGCGCUGCUACUCCAGUUGAGCGCAAGGAUCCCUGCUACCGGAGCGCAGAUUGGGGCAACCAGGGCGCAGAUUGGGGCAACCAGGGCGCAGAUUGGGGCAACGGCCGGCCCAGGUGGCGCUCAGGACCGACCAGCAACACCCCGCCCCUGCAGCUGCUUCUUGGCUUGGUGAUCAAGUGCACCAGACUGGGGUCAGUCCUAGGGGAUGUUUCUUGGCACGAGUGCUGGAGACGCCAUGCUUCUCCAACACCCAACCCGGAGGUGUCCGCCCCGCUUCGUGCUUCCUCGGUUAAGCUUCCCUCCUCUGGCAAGACUUUUAGGAAUGGAGCCAGGACUCGGGCAUCGGAGUACAUUCUGAAAACCAGGAGGCUAGAGGUUUCUCUGUGCCUUUGGAGGCUGUCCUGGAACGAGCUCUUGUAGACCAGGCUGGUCUCCAACUCACAGAGAUCUGCCUGCCUCUGCCUGCAGAGUGCUGGGAUUAAAGCCUUCAUCCAGCAGCUGGUGGAAGUAGAAGCAGACACCCACAGCUAAACCUUGAACUGAACUGAAAUCCAGAUGCAGAGAAGGAGGACUGAUGAGCAAAAGGAUCCAUACCAGGCAGGUGAAAACCACAGAAACAGCUGACCUGAACAACAGGGAGCUCUUGGCCCCUAGACUGAUAGCUGGGAAACCAGCAUGGGACUGAUCCAGACCCCCUGAAUGUGGGUGUCAAUGAGGAGACCUUGGAAAUCUACGGGGCCACUUGUAGUGGAUCAGUACUUAUCACUACCAUAGGAAUGGACUUUAGGAACUCAUCCCACAUGGAGGGAUACUCCCUGAGCCUAGACACAAGGGGGUUGGCCUAGGCCCUAUCCCAUAGAAUAUGACAGACUUUGAAGACCUCCCCCCAUGGAAGGCCUCACCCUUCCUGGAGAGCAGAAAGGGUAUGGGAUGGGUAGGGCGUUAGUUGGGGGGGGGGAGGG